GACAGAGGGUGCGAACGUUGUUCGGAAUUACUGGGCGUAAAGCGCGUGUAGGCGGUCGUGCAAGUCGGGUGUGAAAGCCCUGGGCUCAACCCAGGAAGUGCAUUCGAUACUGGCGUGCUUGAGGACUGGAGAGGAGACUGGAAUUUACGGUGUAGCAGUGAAAUGCGUAGAUAUCGUAAGGAAGACCAGUGGCGAAGGCGGGUCUCUGGACAGUUCCUGACACUGAGACACGAAGGCCAGGGGAGCAAACGGG
rnacentral:rRNA from 1 species